rnacentral:rRNA from 1 species
AUGUACCAAAAGUACAUUGCCGAGUUGGACACGAUUACGCCUGAGCAGGUGGAAUGGCAGCCAUAUGGCGCCGAUGACAGACUUGGGUACACCCCGGAGUUUUCCAUCAACCCGAUGUGCUUGCGGGAUAGGGAUCUCUGGCUUAUGCGGUGCCCACUGAUAUGCAACUGGGCUGUUGAGUUUCAUUUGCCACAUCGCGUGUUUCGUUAG